GUUGACCCCCUCCGUGUUGCAGCGAGUCACAACAACAGCGGGAAACAGGUAUUUUCUCUGUUUUAUCGACAGUUUGUGUUUGAAGUGAAAAAAAAUUCUAUGUUGAGUAAUAGGCUUUUUAUUUUUCUUGGUGGUUCUGUCUUUGGGUCACCCAUGGAAGAAAUGACUACAUAAGAAGGCAUGGAAUGCAACAUGCACAUUAGGGUUACUCCCUAAGGUACGGGUCAGAUGAACCUAUAUAUGCAUGCAUUUCGUCAGUUUCUAGUGUUUGCUGAAUGUUUAUAGCUCUGAAAAUAAGAGAAUGCGUGGCACUUCUUUUGUUCUUUGAGUGUCGUGACGAACUACAACUACAUCACUCAUCAUUUCCUACAUUAUACAUAUAUGUUCAGUUGGAUCUUGAGAAAAAAGGCAUCAUUUAUCGAUUUUGUUGCGUUUCCUAUGUAGUAAGCUUGUGAUUUAUGUUAGUUGUUGAGUGAGCAAACCAUGUUCGUACAGUACAAGGAGAGGAAACCUCCAUCUCCAAGACGUACUGUCUUUUCUCCUCGUCAAGCGAAGCAAUCAAACCGUAAAGCUUCUUAACGCUGCACCUCGAUCUAAUGGCGGGCGCCUUCCCAUUAGGCUGGUUCUGAUCUUCUUCGUCUAUCUCUGACUCCGCAACGCCACCUCCUGCAGGGAAACCAAUACUCUCUUCUUCUUCUGAUUCCGAUGAUGCAUCGUCAAUCUGUCCACGUGCGCUCGGCCCCGAAGCUGGGAUCCCGUAGCCAUCGAUCCCUUCAUCAAAAAAUGCCAACCUAAAAGAAGUCAAUUUUUCAGAAGAAGCACACUCAACAUUACAUAUACGGGAUGCCUUUGCAAAAAUCCUGGUUGCAUGGUGCACUGGAGAAAACAUGAUUUCAGUAUCGAGGAUGCUAUAGGCCAUGCGCACAUACAUGGGUGUACAUGAUCGAUCGAUACAUAAAAAUCGUGCAAACCGAUGGAUGAGUUUUAGAAAUAAUGCACACAUGACCCAUGGUGGAACGGAAGUACUAUGAUAUUGAAUCAUUGAUUGAGAUGGCACUGCCCCUCGCCGCAGGAUCGCUGCAGCAGCUAGGACUAGAUUCGUCGAGUUGUUUUAUCAAACACUUCAGAGGGGAGAAGUACAUUAGAUCAAAUGCUGCUGCCCUUUAGAGUCUGCGUGACUCUGAUCAUGGGCCGCCCCCUUUGUCUGCGCGAUGACGUACAAGGGAGAACCGACAAAAAGAGAGUUGCUUUUUUUCGGGGCGCGAGCAUUUGACUUUUUCCACAGUAAAAACAUUGUUUUUUCUACCUGCUCCUCCCUGUAAAUAGUCUUGGGGCUGAAUAGGGCUUUAGGGCAUCUCUAACAUUGACCCGUAAAUUUUCUCCCCGCGUCCGUCCGUAGACAGAGGGUUCCGUUUGAUUCGUUAGUUGUGAUAAGAAAAGGUUGCGUGUUAUAUCCGCAUAAGUAGGAAUGCUUCUCAUUCGAAAUCAAGAAUGUGUCGUGUUGUUGUCUGUAUGGUUGUACUUUUUUCCUAUUCACACACUGUCCACUUGUGUGCGAUGGAGAGAAAAGGUUUGUUUGCAUGAAAACAGAGAUCCUUCUGUCGAGUACGAAAGGUUCUAACCUUGCCGUAUGAGGUUUCUCAUUCACUAGUACGAGAAGUCCCCCACCCUCCCCGCCUCCCCGGUGCACAACGCAAAGUUUUUCUUUUUGCAAAAAUUGAAAUGAGGUUCUAUGACUGUUUGCAUGUUUCUACCCUUUUUCCAUGCACACACUAUCCAAUGGUGUGCGAUGGAGGGAAAAUGUUCGCCUGCAUAAAAAGAGGGAUCCUUCUGAUGAGUACGAAAGGUUCUUACCUUGCCAUCUGAGGGUUCUCGUUCACCAAUAAGAGAGACCCCCGCCCCCCGGACCCGGGGUGCAAUAGGCCCCUGGUCUACGAUAUAUAGAAGGGUUCUCGGUCCAUAAAUAAGGGUGCCUACUGCGAGUGUGUGGGUGGUUCUCAUAAUGCAUAACAAAGGUCCUAUGAUUGGCACAUUACAUCAGAAAAUUACUUCUCCCCAAUUAAACUUGCACCCGCAUGGAAGAGCAUCUAUUUACCACGUCAAGUUUAUAAAAUAGUUUGUAAGCAUAAAAUGGAUGUUCCUCGCAAUGCACCAAUGCACCAAUGCGGUGAUACGUUAUCGAGCGGUGUGUGAUUGAGAAGGGUUCGCAUGCAUAAAAUGAUGGAACCCUCCUGUCGAGCGUGAAAGGUUCAAACAAUGUCACAGAAGGGUUCUCAUUCAUUAAUAAAAUGGUUCCUAUCACUUUCUGACCGAGUGCCCUGGUUUCACGGCUUUAGUUUAACCAUGGGUGUUGCACCUUGUCAGGCUGUAGCGAGCAGCAGGCCAUGUGUUUGACGCAUUUAGUUUAACCAAGUAGUAGUAGUUCCCGCUUCUCGGCGGGGAGCUGCCCAAGCACACAUCAGCCUUGGGUAAGAAACGGUGCCAUGCUAGAAACCAGCACAACCCACACCAUCGAUGGAGAAUGUGUGCUCCCCCAUGUCAUUUACCUCCUACCGAAACAACCGUCGUUCAUGCCCCACUGCGUUAUUGAGCGCACACAUGCCAUGAUCGGACGAGGAGAAUCGCCUCCGAGCCACCGCUCUCGUGAUCACCGCGCCCUGGGUCGACCCAAACGCAGGGAAGGAAGCCACCCUCGCCGAAUUCGCCAAUAUCCAGAGCGGCCGUUGUGUGUCCAUCCUUUCCGUGCAGAACUUCCUCGUCCGUUUCAUGAAGUUACCUGAUUAUCUAAUAUUCCCUCCGUCCCAUAAUAUAAAAGUGUUUUUAAUACUAGUGUAAAAAAACGGUCUUAUAUUAUGGGACGGAGAGACUUUGUAGCUAAUGUAUUAUUUAGUAUUCUCUAUUCACAUUUUUACUAUGCAGAAACUUUUCGUUUAUGUAGCUUAAAGUGAAAUACUUUACUUAGUAAGCUAGGUCUAUUAGGCUGGUAACACCGCAGUCAACAAUCUUUGUGAGCUGCAGUAGAAGCCAUCCAGCCAGCAGCUAAGCUUUCCAUUUUCUCGGUAAGGAACUGACUUCUACUAGAGUGUAAAAUUCAGAGUAAACAAAUAGAUCAAGUGCAUCCACAAUUCCUUAGUACAGUAGUAGUAUGGAGAAAGGCAGGAUCUGUAUGGCGCCCACUUUAUAACCAGUAAUUCUAAAAUAACAACCAAAAUGGUUUUGCUUCUUCUUGUAGGAAACCACACCAAAUGAAUUAAAAGAGGGAAUCAACUCUGAGAACAAUGAAAUUACCCGAUAGAAAAAAAUAGAACACUCUUGAACGAAUUUUUAGCCAGCAAAAAGACGUGCAUUCUUUUCUCACAUUCCAUCAAACAGUGUUUUUUUAAAAGAUAUUCCAUCAAACAGUUAACGCGCAGUUUGAACUAGUGAACAAAUCUCACGGGCUGCAGAGAGUAAGAUUCAGUCAAAACUAAUUCAGUUGGACCAUAACAAAUACACCAGUGCAGAAAAAUGUAGAACAUGUCGUGGGAGUUGAAGCUGCUGCUCCUACUACUCUGGCCGCUACAGCUUGACAUUCCCUCUCCAAGACAACCAACUAAAAAGUCCGUUUCAAAAAAAACUAAAUAAUCACCAUUCCUGUGAUCAUCCACAAUCCAUUUCAUUGUUUGUCUCAUCUCAUGCUCUCAACAACCAACACCAAAAUAUAAUUUAACCAUGCAUUACCCACUAACACUUGCAUGGAGAUCCACUAAAGAAGGGAGGAGAUUAAGAAAACGAUUAAGGGAAAGCAAACAACUUUCCAAAGUCUAAUGAACUCCCAAAAUCACAUCAAACAACAAAGAGUUCAAGCAUUUGUUCAGAACGAUCAGAAACCUGUGGAUCAAUUGAAGAUUCAGAGCAAAAGCUUAAAUUUAGAGCUCCAAACCUAUGAAAGCAAAACGCUAAGCUAGCAAGAAAAAUCAGGCUCAAGUUAUGUUUGGUGCCGCCUCCGUCUCGAAUUUCCUCGUGUGUAGCCUUGUCUUCCUCCUCACGACCCUAGUUCUGCGCAUGGCGAGCACAAGGCAGCAUCGUCAUGAUUCUUGGUGAAGCAUGGCGAGCUCCAUGCAGAAGCUUGGGACACCAGGCCACAUCUACGGCUAGUCACCUGCAUCACCGUAUCCAAAAUGCAUUACACAGGAAACCAAACCAAAAAAACACUGAUUAGGGGCAGGCCAGGGUAAAAUUCAGAACAACAACAUUACAUUCAGAGGGCCGUAGUUAGGAACACAAAAGUUAAAAUAUACAAUAGCACACAAACUAGAAAGAAUUGAAUUCGUUCAACGUCCUGGUAAGUAAUCUAUAAAAAUUAGUAGUAAUCUGGCUACAACUACUUUUGCAGCUUGACCUAUCCAGCCCGAACAACAACAAAAUCACACGUCCACCAACAAUCAAAGGGAAGAAGCAAGAAGUUCGAGCACAAAAAGACAGGCCUUUUCUCAAUGCCUCCAAGUUGGAGUCGCGGAGUAGCUGUGGACCAGGAGGAGGCCGUGAGAGGCCAGCAGGAAGCAGUACAGGUCGUGCACACUGUCGACCCUCCCGGGUAAGCCCGCGACAGGCCCCGCGUCUCCCGCCAGUGGGAAGAGACGGCCACAACAUCCAACACUACGGCAGCCCGGGGCCCCGGUAUCCCCGGAUCAAGCUUGGCGAGGUUGAUGCCGAUAUCGACGUCCCCGUCUCCCUGGAUCUCGCCGAUAUUUGUGCGGCAGAAGAGGGAGGGAGCCUGUUGGGUAGCAUGAUGAGGAGAUGUGGAGCACCGAGAUGAGGGUGGGAGAGGGUUGGGGCUGUGCGACUCACCGGGAUGGUAGAGGUGGCUUGCUGUGGAGGGGAAGGGUGGGAGGGUUGGGGGCGGCGGGAUCUGGACGGGAUGGAGAACAAGCGAGAGAGAAUGAUGGGGUGGAUAAACGAGCAAGAGAGAGACGGGGUGGAUAAAGUUACGCACCGAUCAUGUACAUGGGCGAUGGGCCGACAGUUCUACAGAACCUUACCUCCGGCUGCAAUCACGGGCCCAUCACUGCCAAACCUGCCGUCCUGCCAGCCUAGUACUGCGCGCGACAGGGCUGGACGCAGGGUGAGUGGUCCAGGUUUGGCUAUAAGAGGAAUUACCCAUCGAUCACUUAAAAGAAGAAAAAUGCAAAGAGGGAAAGGUGAGGGAGCAGAUCCCAACACAUUUAGGCGUCCGUGACUGCAAUGUCUCUGACGAAACUUUAUAUCUUUGAUUUUUCCUAUAUAUAUAUAUUCAUUUUAAAAUACUUUCAACAACAUACAUAUCCCUUCCAUAUGGAUAUGUGUAACGCCCCAGAUACAAUUUUCCAUAUUCAUAACUUCAACUCUUGCCUUUUCCGGAGAUGCUAUAUGAUAUUUCCUUUGUGGUUGGGUUUUUGUCGUUUGUUUUGCAUUUUGUUCUUGUUAUGCAUCUCGUCUCAUGUCAUCAUCUGCAUUUCAUCUGCAUGUUUUUCAAAACUUGCAUCUGUUCGGGUUCCGCCGGUUCUCUCCGUUGUCCGUUCGGAGUCCAGACCACACUCGCACGCGCCCGCGGCACCUCCGAAAUAUUAUUUUAUAAGUGGCAUAAAAAUGUUCUCGGAAUGGGUUGCAACUUGUCGUGCGGUCUUAUUAUAGUGUAGACAGAGCGCCUGCCAAGUUUCAUCGCAUUCGGAGUUGGUUUGACUGCCCAACUGUUAAAUAUAUAACCGCGAUAUAGUCGGUAUAUUCGUCGGACGUUUCGGUCUCUGAAACAGUUGCCGGGCUGCAUUUCUCCCCUCUUCUCUCAGCCCAAGCCCCUCUACACAGCCCACCAACCCCUCUCUUAGUCCCUCUCCGCUCCGAAAGCCCCCAAAACCCCGAACCCUAACCCCUCUUUCUAUAAAUAGCAGCCCCCUUGCCAUUUUUGUCACCCCUAACCUCUCUCCUUGAUUUCCGCGCUGUCCCAAUCAUCAGCCGCCGCCACCUCCCACCUUCUCCUUCGAUUCCGGCGCCCUCCACCUCCACUGCGACACUUGGCGCACCCCGAUUGGCCCAGCCACCACCAUCCGGCGCCCUCCACCUCCACUGCGACACUUGGCGCACCCCGAUUGGCCCAGCCACCACCAUCCGGCGCCCCUGGCCACUCCCAAGCCUCCACGUCGCCUCCCCCUCAGCCUCCGCCGCCGCGGCCCGCCAGGAACCCAGAUCGGGCCCUGGGAAGCCCAUCUGGGCCCCGAGCUGCCUAGCUCCUGCGCCCGAGCCCCGUCCUUGUCGCCCUGCGCCCCGCGCCUGAGCGCCCUGGCUCUAGGAUCCCGUGCGCCGCCCCUCCGCGUGCAACCACCCUGCCGAGCGUCACCGGCGACCAACUCCGGCGACCUCCGCCGCAGGUCACGCUGCCGCCCGGCCUCUCUCUCCCUUCCUCUUCUCCUUCCUCCCCUCACCAGCUCUCUCUCUCUCCCGCAGCGCCUCGCGCCACCGCCCGUCGCUGUAGUUCGUCGUCCGGCCCCGCCUCCGGCCAGAUCCGGGCAGGAGCGCCCGGAUCCCCCUAUCCCCGUCGUUCGCCGACGCUCUGGACGCCGCCCGCUGCCGCCAAGGCCUCGUCGUCGGAGUCCCGUGCGCCGUCAUGUUCGUUGAACGGUCCCGCUGGAGAUGAGCGCCACGACCGCGUCGCCCUCCACCCACUUCAGCCCAGCGCGCCUCCAUAUCCGCGCCAAGGCCCAGCGCCCCUUCCAGCCGGCCCGCUUGCCCCGCUGGCCUGCCCGGCCUCCUUCUUCCUCAACCGGGCCUUGGCCCAGGGUGAGCAGACCCCUCCCCCUCUCCUGUGCACUUUGGCCCAGCCAGAUUCGGCCCAGUGUAGUUUUUUUUCAGAUCUGCGAAUUUGUCUUUUAUCCAGUGCAUGCAUAAUUACAGGAGGAUGCCAUUAUUUUAAAUUGCUCACAAGUAAAUAACUGUGCAUCGGAUUAAAAUGGUUUAAACAUGUAAAAUGCUCAGAAAAUUGUGUAGAUUAAUAAUAUGCCACUUUCAUCUAUGUUAAAAAUGUUUAACAUGAUGUUUGUGUUUAUUUUGCAUAAUGCCAUGCUAAAAUGAUUUAAUUCAUAACUAAAUAACCGUAGCUCCAUUUUAAAUAAACUUUAUAUGUAAAUGGGGUGGAAAAAUGCCUAGAUUAACAUGGUGCACUUUAUUUUCCUGUUUAACAACAAUAAAAUUGUGUUUAGGGAAGAACAGUACCGAAUCUAAAAUAUGCAUAUGGGGAUUUUCCGGACUUGUUGUUUGUUGCUUUUGGCCUCAUUUAAACUUGCCUAAAUAGUUAGUUUACUUAUGUUUCACCUCUUGCCAUGUUUAACAACAUUUAAUAUUGUUGUGUACCUAAACGAGAGCGAACCAAAUAACUCGUAUGUGGUGUUUCGUCAAUAUGUAACUCGUUGCAUAUUGAGCUCCACUUAACUUGUAAUAUUGUUUGUUGCACUUUGCCAUGCCAUGCCUCAUUAAACCGGAGAUGCAUCAUACUUGUUUGUGCAUCAUGCCAUGUUUAUGCUCGUGCAUUACCAUGUUGUUUGUUUCUUUCCGGUGUUGCUUCUUAGUUCCGGUAAUGUUGCGAUCGUGAGGAUUCGUUCGUCUACGCUUGGUUCGGUUUCAUCCGUUCGUCUUCUUCAUGGACUCGUUCUUCUUCUUAGCGGGAUUUCAGGCAAGAUGGCCGCUACCCUGGAUCUCACUACUAUCAUUGCUAUGCUAGUUGCUUCGUUCUAUCGCUAUGCUGCGUUACCUAUCUUUUGCUCAUCAAGCCUCCCAAAUUGCCAUGAACCUCUAACCUUUGACACCCUCCCUAGCAAACCGUUGCUUGGCUAUGUUACCGCUUUUGCUCAGCCCCUCUUAUAGCGUUGCUAGUUGCAGGUGAAGUUGAAGAUUGCUCCACGGUGGACAGAAUUAUGUUUGGGAUAUCACAAUAUCUCUUAUAUUAUUAAUGCAUCUAUAUACUUGGUAAAGGGUGGAAGGCUCGGCCUUAUGCCUGGUGUUUUGUUCCACUCUUGCCGCCCUAGUUUCCGUCAUACCGGUGUUAUGUUCCCGGAUUUUGCGUUCCUUACGCGGUCGGGUGAUUUAUGGGACCCCCUUGACAGUUCGUCUUGAAUAAAACUCCUCCAACAAGGCCCAACAUUGGUUUUACCAUUUGCCUCACCACCACCUACUUUUCCCUUGGGAGUAAUUAACCCAAGGGUCAUCUUUAUUACAGCACCCCCCCCCCCGGGCCAGUGCUUGUUUAAGUGUUGGUCCGAACUAGAGCCCUUUGCAGCGCCCCCUCAGGGAAACUUGAGGUCUGGUUUUAGUUGUACGGAUUGCUCAUCUGGUGUUGCCCUGAGAACGAGAUAUGUGCAGCUCCUAUCGGGAUUGUCGGCGCAUCGGGCGGCUUUGCUGGUCUUGUUUUACCAUUGUCGAAAUGUCUUGUAAACCGGGAUUCCGAGUCUGAUCGGGUCUUCCUGGGAGAAGGUCUAUUCCUUCGUUGAUCGCGAGAUCUUGUCAUGGGCUAAGUUGGGACACCCCUGCAGGGUAUAAACUUUCGAAAGCUGUGCCUGCGGUUAUAGGCAGAUGGGAAUUUGUUAAUGUCCGGUUGUAGAUAACUUGACACCAGAUCCGAAUUAAAACGCAUCAACCGCGUGUGUAGCCGUGAUGGUCUCUUUUCGACGGAGUCCGGGAAGUGAACACGGUUUCUUGGGUUAUGUUUGACGUAAGUAGGAGUUCAGGAUCACCUCUUGAUCAUUACUAGUUGACGACCGUUCUGCUUGCUCUCUUCUCGCUCUUAUUUGCGUAUGUUAGCCACCAUAUCAUGCUUAGUCGCUGCUGCAACCUCACCACUUUACCCCCUUCCUUUCCCUUUAAGCUUUGCUAGUCUUGAUACCCAUGGUAAUGGGAUUGCUGAGUCCUCGUGGAUCACAGAUUACUACAACAACAGUUGCAGGUACAGGUUAUGCGAUGUUCAUGACGCGAGAGCGAUGCUUGCUUGUCUUGGAGUUCUUCUUCUGCUUCUUCUUCGAUCAGGGGAUAGGUUCCAGGUCGGCAGCUUGGGCUAGAGGGUGGAUGUCGUUUGAGUUUCUGUUUGUGUUUCAUCCGUAGCCGGAUGAUGCUCUUAUGUAUUGUGAUGUUGUAUUCGAGUGGCAUUGUAUGCCUUAUGUAUGUAUCCCCAUCUAUUAUGUAAUGUUGAUGUAAUGAUAUCCACCUUGCAAAAGCGUUUCAAUAUGCGGGUCUAUCCUUGGUGGGACCUUCGAGUUCCUUUUGGAUAGGGUCGCAUAUUGGGCAUGACAAUAUGAUCAUCCAACACAUAUAUAU
rnacentral:lncRNA from 1 species